AUUACUCCUACGGGAGGCAGCAGUAAGGAAUAUUGGGCAAUGGAGGGAACUCUGACCCAGCAACGCCGCGUGAAGGAUGAAGGCCCUCUGGGUUGUAAACUUCUGUUGUAUAGGAAAAAGAAGUGAUGGUACUAUACGAGGAAGCCACGGCUAACUCCGUGCCAGCAGCCGCGGUAAUAAUC
rnacentral:rRNA from 1 species